rnacentral:lncRNA from 1 species
UGCUUUAGACAGUGGUUGCUUUCUUUUCACAGACUUAACUGCCUUGAAGAACUGACUCAAAGCCUGUAGAAAUCAACAGGCUCCACAUUGAACAACAGGUUAUGGAGGAGGCUUGGCAUGCUAAGCCCUUCCCCUGCUGUAAGAAGUUAGAGCAGCUGUGAGAAGUGGUGAGAGCCUCCAGUCCCAUGGUGAACCUGUGCCCUAGCAGGAAUGUUUACACCACUUACUGUGACAAAGGAGGGUCCUAUUCAAAGAUGCAUGGAAGUCAGCCAUUUUAUAAGCUUUCCCACCAUCCCCACCAAUUCCAGGUCCAGUUCAUCCCAGGAAUUAAGUGAGGCUACUCAGAAGAAAAGUGAAAAACUGCAGGAUGGCAGAAUUGGGCUUUGGCUUGUCUUGAAUGGUA